rnacentral:lncRNA from 1 species
AAGAGCAUGUAAAAUAUGUUUUAUUGUUCUUUAAAAGGGCUCAGGGUUUGGUUUUAAAUCAGGCUGCACACCUUUCAUCAGUCUGACAUCUCUCUCACCAUGUCAAACUGGCUUCAGCUAGCAAUACUUCAUUAAAUCCGAAAGAAAAAAAUUUUUUAAUUUUGAAGAAAAUCCAGUUUUGAGAACAAUUAACAUUAUUCUGUAAUUUACAACAAUAUGAGGGCUGAUGUUGCAUGUUAUUGUACAUACCCUUCUCCUCAUACAGAACCAGGAAUGUCACUUUCCUAACUCAGGCAGGCACUGUUACUGGUGGGUACUGCACACUCGCUCGCUCACUCACACACACAUUGGAUAGUACCAUCAUUUUUUCACUUUAAAAUCCUAGAGACAAUUUCAAAAAGCAUUAUUUUGCUUUGUUUUUUGGGACAGGGG